ensembl:lncRNA
CUUCGCCAUAAAUUCUGCUCUUUUUGAGCCUGCAAUUAGUGUUAGGAAGCACCGGAGUCUAAACACAACCAAACACCCUCUGAAGGGCCCAAGUGCCCGAGGUUGCAAAGCUUUAUUUAUUUCUCAUUGCCACCCCCUCCGCGGCCCGAGGUUUGCGACCACAGUCUCCUCCUCCCCCGUCACCGCCGGCGGUACGCAGCCGGCUGGGUUCCCGCUCCGCGAGGGAAGGUCACAAUAGCUGCUCUAUCGGCGGAGGCGCCCGCCUCCCCCCUCUCGGGUCUCGGGAAGGCAGAGAAAGGACGGUGGGGGAGGGGAGCUCGGGCCGGCAAUGGCGCCCCAGGCCCAGGCAGCUCCUUCUCCCGCGGAGGACCUGCAGCGGGAAGAGGCACGUCUGCAGCGGAAGGACACCGCCACUCCAGACCGAGGCUUCUUCCCGGGAGCGGCGCGCGGGCUCCGUGGGGAGCUCACCACGGUCUCGAGGAGGCUGCUCGCUGGCCCCUAGCCGCCGCGCGCUGCUGGAUCGAGGGCGCCCGCAGCAGCGGACCUUCCGGGAGCAGCGGCGCCAUUGUGAGCGCGGCUUCCCACGGGCCCCGCGGCCGGGAAGCCGCACAAAGGCGGCAAGGCGUCCGACACCCGCAGGUGGGGAGGGGCCGGCCCAAGGGGAGGAAAUGGCUCUUUGGCUCUGGUCGUGGCCGGCUCUGCCUUUUUUUCGCCCCCCUACUUAGACCCAUUGGAGGGAGGUCUUAUCAGGGAGGUUGUGGGCGAUUCUCCUGGGACCUGAAGAAAGGGGUCAGGGCCCCAAGCCUAGGCCUAUGGAUGGGGGUGGAAGUCAUUUGGGAGCCCCCUAGUCUGUCUUGCCAAUCAAACCUGAAUUAAAGCAGGGUUGAGAUGAAGUGGCUGGAAUGACCAGCUGCAGAAUGAGAGCUGGGGGUGGGAAAAGAUUUAGGGACAGGGAGAGCCUGCCCUGGCUACCAAGGAGAAACUCAGUACCCAGCCUGCACUGGAGUGAGAAAACCCUACUGAGUUAGCCAGGGGGAUAGGGAAGUUGCAGAGGAAAGGUUGCAAGAAAGGGCGGUAACACACUCUACCUCCUGGCUUUCAGACCUCAGCCUUAUCUAAGGACCUCACAGAGAAAAACCCUUCUCAGAUGGAAUCAUUUGUUAACUAUCCGUUUGUACCAUUUCUUUGUACAGGCUUUCAAAUAAGAGGGAGAGAAUACAGAGCAAGUGCUUGCCCCUUGGUGCAACCUCAAGCCUAGUCCCUAUCAGAGACACAUCAGCCAAAUUGGUUUCCCAGGCCCCAGAGGCUGCUAACCUUGCUGAAAAGCAUUUUUUAAAUUUGUAUCUGUAAGGAGUAUUUUAAACAUGGUAAUUAACCAUACUAGUUACUCAUCCCUCUCCCUCCCCCAUUCUGUACCAGCCAACUGACCCUUGAGUGAAGUGGUCUUCUCAGCCAGCAGGCUUGAGCACCUAGGCUCCCCAUCUGUUGAGGUUUUUCAUUAAGGAGGGUGAAGAGGAUGUGUGUGUGGGUGUAUGUUUGAAUAACAAAGGAGAAACCCAACAUUCUAAAAAAGUGUUUCUCUACUUGACCUGGGGGAGCCAGAAGCCUGUUUACACUAUGGAUAUUCAAGGACAACCCAGGCCUGUUUUGACUUUAUCCUGAGGAUUAGUUGAAAUUGUCUCCUGAAGUCAAGAAUGGGUUAAUCCCAGUUACAGAAUCCAGGAAGGUCCUCUUCAUCUGGCAACUCUUGGCAUUACUCUGGUCCUUCUUUCAGAAACUGUAGGAAAAGAACAGGAUGAACAGCAGUUCAUAUUAAGUAAAUAAAAAGAGAAACAGAAGGCUCCAGUUCCCACAGGCCUAUAUAGCCUGAUUACUUCAGGGCACUUGCAACUUUCUAGAGAGGGGAUGUAGCUAUGGCUUGGGUGAGUGGGCCUAUCCCUUGACACUUCAAGCACAGGGAAGUGAGACUGAGUGGCCAGCUACACCCAUAGCACCUCUGAGGACUGGCUCUCUUAGAGCUCUCUUGUAGAAGGUCUGGAUGGAGAGAAAAAAGAUAGGGUAGAUGAAUCCUGUGCAUUUACUGCAUUGGUUAUGCUGGUGGUAGAGAAGAUCAUCACAGAGGAUGAAAUCUUAGUUAUCACUGCUCCCUUGUCUCCUACUCCAGCUACAAAGCCCUUUAUUUUGGGUGCCCAGAGUUGACCAAAUGGAUUUAUACGCCUGGCCCAAAACCCAUUCCUAAACAUUUCACUCAGGUCUCAUACUCACCUUGGCAAAUUGGGAAAGUACAAAGAUAAUUCAGAGAUCCAUUUUCAGGCCAGACCCAGCGUUCUGAAGCACUGUAAACAAAAGGUUUCCACACACGAAGAACCAAGGUUAAUGGAUGUCCAGUCAUUUGCAGUAGCAGAAGCAGGUGAAGGGUUCCCAGAAGAUCAGCAUGGUGGGAGAUAUUACAGAAGUCUUCUUGUCCCAGAUCUUGUGGUAAAAUCUCUUCUUCCUGCUCAUCGCUCAGUCAUGACUCUGCUACUCUAUGGACUGUAGCCUCGCAGACUCCUCUGUCCAUGGGAUUUCCCAGGCAAGAAUAUUGGAGUGGGUUGCCAUUUCCUCCUCCAGGGGUAAGUCUCUUGAAUGGUUCCUAUAUCUAGUUGGGGUCAUUUUAUAUGGAAGAAUAAUAUCUGGAAAAUCAUGAGAAUAGGAUUUUAACAUUAGUAAGAGCCCAAAGAGGAGAUCUUAAUUGAAACCAGGAUGCAUGGAGAACCCUGGUUAUAGAGGCAGUGUUUUAGGUGGGGAAGCCGGGCUAAAAUCCGUCUAAGAGUGCCUGUUGGACCAAGGCCUUUUUGAAGGAGGCGAUGAGAGUCCCUGACUUAUGAGGAGACAGGGAGAAGGCCUUCUGAUGGCUCUACUGGUAGGAAAUCUGCCCUAAAAUACCACACCCCUCCCCAUCUCCACAAGGGCUUGAAGGCCAAAUGACCGGGAAAGUGGGUCGGUUGGGUUGAACUCCAGGCAGUGGCAGAGCCAGAACUGACCUCUUUCACCCGCGUCUGCUAACCCCUUGGGGCAGCAACGAUGCCAUCUCCGUCGCCGGCAAAAACACACAAAGGAGGCCCCCACCCAGGCUCGAACCUGGGGGCACACUGGAGAGAGGGCUGGCGUGGACCCCGAGUCGGAGAGCCUCCCACCCCCACGGGGAGCAAUAGCUGCCGCCUCCCCGGGGCAGUGGGGCGGUCGCGCCGCACAAAGGCCGGCUCGGCUAGCGCCAUGUGACGCGCGCUCGACCCGCUCUCCCGGCGGCGCGGCGGACGGGUGCGUGUUCCGACCCACCUGAACACUUUCCGAAAGACAAACGCGGUUCCUCCUACUUCGGAGCAAGUCCGGGCCAGCUGGGAUCCGACCAGAAACCGCAAGCGGAGGAGACGCGGGUACGCAGGCUGAGGGUAACGGAGGGCGCGACCUGCCGCCCCGCGCUCUGCCGCGCCAGGCCCGAGGGUAGCGCCUCCCGGUCCUCCCCGCGCCAGGGACGGCAGCCGCCCAGCAGCCCCGCCCGUGGGCCAGGCAGGGCGCCGGGUGCCCGGAGCGUCCCGGCCCCACCUCCACGCCCCACCUCCGCGCACUUCCCGCUUGCCCCAGUGACACCCUUCACCGCUGCUGUCCCCCCAGUAAGGGACAAACCCGUCUCUGAGGGCAGGACGAGAGAAAACCUCAAUAGGUGGAAAGGUUCUUGCAAAUACUUUUAUUUAAGAGUUUUAUAAAGGAUGUCCCAAAGGAUCAGAAUUCAGGGGAGACGCUGAACGAGUUCUCUCAUUGACCUUCAGGACUAUUUCCUAUUUGUAUGGGAGGAAAGAGGUUAAUAACCCCUGUUGAACUUGGAACUAAACUUGAAUGCAAUUUAAAAUAACCAUUAAAAUACACUUAAAACACUAACCACAAUGAUAUGCCUCUUCUCUUUUUUGUGAUAUGAGGGAAGGCUUGGAGUAGUUGUACUUUAGCUGUUGGGGGUUCAUUUUAGAAACACCGUGAAGGAGCAGACUACAGCUGGGGGCGAG